rnacentral:rRNA from 1 species
UACAGAGGGUGCGAGCGUUAAUCGGAAUUACUGGGCGUAAAGCGUGCGUAGACGGUUAUUUAAGUCGGAUGUGAAAGCCCCGGGCUCAACCUGGGAAUUGCAUUCGAGACUGAAUAGCUAGGGUGCGGUAGAGGGAAGCGGAAUUUCCGGUGUAGCGGUGAAAUGCGUAGAUAUCGGAAGAACAUCAGUGGCGAAAGCGGCUUCCUGGACCAGCACCGACGUCAGGCACGAAAGCGUGGGGAGCAAACAGG